UACGUAGGGGGCGAGCGUUGUCCGGAUUCAUUGGGCGUAAAGAGCUCGUAGGCGGUUCGGUAAGUCAGGUGUAAAAACUCCAGGCUCAACUUGGAGAGGCCACCUGAUACUGCCGUGACUAGAGUCCGGUAGAGGAGCAUGGAAUUCCUGGUGUAGCGGUGAAAUGCGCAGAUAUCAGGAGGAACACCAGCGGCGAAGGCGGUGCUCUGGGCAGUAACUGACGCUGAGGAGCGAAAGCGUGGGGAGCGAACAGG
rnacentral:rRNA from 1 species